rnacentral:rRNA from 1 species
GACGGAGGGUGCAAGCGUUGCUCGGAAUCACUGGGCGUAAAGGGUGCGUAGGCGGUCUCGCAAGUCUGGCGUGAAAGCCCAAGGCUCAGCCUUGGAAGUGCGCUCGAAACGGCGAGGCUGGAGUGCCGGAGGGGAGAGUGGAAUUCCCGGUGUAGUGGUGAAAUACGUAGAUAUCUGGAGGAACACCGGUGGCGAAGGCGGCUACCUGGCCCAACAUUGACGCUGAGACCCGAAAGCAUGGGGAUCAAACAGG